CAGCCGCCACGGGAAUACGGAGGGUGCAAGCGUUAAUCGGAAUUACUGGGCGUAAAGCGCACGCAGGCGGUCUGACAAGUCAGAUGUGAAAUCCCCGGGCUUAACCUGGGAACUGCAUUUGGAACUGUCAGGCUGGAGUCUUGUAGAGGGGGGUAGAAUUCCAGGUGUAGCGGUGAAAUGCGUAGAGAUCUGGAGGAAUACCGGUGGCGAAGGCGGCCCCCUGGACAAAGACUGACGCUCAGGUGCGAAAGCGUGGGGAGCAAACAGGAUUAGAUACCCCUGUAGUCCCUGUCUCUUAUAC
rnacentral:rRNA from 1 species